ACGUCGGUGGCCCAGCUCGCCUGCAGUGUGACUGAGCGUGGCGGUGGCGUAAGGUCAAGCCACCACCGUCUCCUGCCUCUGCCGUAUUACCGUGCUGGUGUUGCCGAGUGGUGGUUGUGUGCUAGUGUUAUUGGUGUAGCGGCGACAGUACAGCGCUUGUGGAUGUGCGAUAUAGAAAGAAGAAAAGCUGUAUUUUACUUCAAGCUGAAAUGUCACGAGUGAGAGAAAGGGGGAGAAAAAGAUAAGAGAUAAUACGGAGGGCAAGGGAGCUCUCCGACAGAAUCUCCUGGAUGACGGAGUGUCCCUAACGUAGACUUUUGUGAUAGGAAAGUGACAGAUUAAGAAAACUGUGAAAAAAAAUAUCGAAGCGUGAUGGACGAAAACACGUGAACGAACAAAUGAGAAAGAGAGAAAAAACGAACCAUAAGUGACGAGAAAUAAAAAAAAAAUAAACAGUGCACGUAACUGACUUCGAAAAAAACAACAACAACAUAACAAAACCAAGAAAAACAAUGUUAAUCUGAGAAUUUCCAACACCGGGCGAGGAAGAGGAAGAGGAAGAAGACACGAGACAUUCCUGGACUGCUGGGACUGAACGGGACGGAGGAAGGGAGCGUAUGAGAGCGUAGCAGCGGCGCGUGAGGAGGGGCGGCAUCGUGACCAACUUGGGAGGAGCGUGAGAGGACGCCGGGCAUAGAGUCGCCAUGGCCCGCCUCCUUCCUCUCUUAUCAGGGGCGGGAGGCUGUGGCACCCUUCAGCCUUGUCCCCAGUCACCUGUGUAACCUGAUCUGUUGGUCUCGAGACUCUACACUCCCCGAGGCGGCUGCAUUUCA